AGCAGCCCGCAAACCCAUCAGUCUGAAUGACCACUUGACAGUCGGAUCGAGAUGAGCAAAAACACCCUUGGAAGGCAGAUACCCCAUAAACCACCUAAAUAGCAUCUGAGCACAACAUCGGAUCAGUCCCCCACGCCGCUUCUCGUUCCUGUUAUGAACCGAGUAAUAAACAUCUCCGAUCAGAGUAGGAAUAGGAUUCCUCUGCAUAAACAGCCUAAUA
rnacentral:lncRNA from 1 species